rnacentral:rRNA from 1 species
GAUGAACGCCGGCGGCGUGCCUAAUACAUGCAAGUCGAGCGAACGGACGAGAAGCUUGCUUCUCUGAUGUUAGCGGCGGACGGGUGAGUAACACGUGGAUAACCUACCUAUAAGACUGGGAUAACUUCGGGAAACCGGAGCUAAUACCGGAUAAUAUUUUGAACCGCAUGGUUCAAAAGUGAAAGACGGUCCUGCUGUCACUUAUAGAUGGAUCCGCGCUGCAUUAGCUAGUUGGUAAGGUAACGGCUUACCAAGGCAACGAUGCAUAGCCGACCUGAGAGGGUGAUCGGCCACACUGGAACUGAGACACGGUCCAGACUCCUACGGGAGGCGGCAGUAGGGAAUCUUCCGCAAUGGGCGAAAGCCUGACGGAGCAACGCCGCGUGAGUGAUGAAGGUCUUCGGAUCGUAAAACUCUGUUAUUAGGGAAGAACAUAUGUGUAAGUAACUGUGCACAUCUUGACGGUACCUAAUCAGAAAGCCACGGCUAACUACGUG